rnacentral:rRNA from 1 species
AGUGAACGCUGGCGGUAGGCCUAACACAUGCAAGUCGAACGGCAGCACAGGAGAGCUUGCUCUCUGGGUGGCGAGUGGCGGACGGGUGAGGAAUACAUCGGAGUCUACUCUGUCGUGGGGGAUAACGUAGGGAAACUUACGCUAAUACCGCAUACGACCUACGGGUGAAAGCAGGGGAUCUUCGGACCUUGCGCGACUGAAUGAGCCGAUGUCGGAUUAGCUAGUUGGCGGGGUAAAGGCCCACCAAGGCGACGAUCCGUAGCUGGUCUGAGAGGAUGAUCAGCCACACUGGAACUGAGACACGGUCCAGACUCCUACGGGAGGCAGCAGUGGGGAAUAUUGGACAAUGGGCGCAAGCCUGAUCCAGCCAUACCGCGUGGGUGAAGAAGGCCUUCGGGUUGUAAAGCCCUUUUGUUGGGAAAGAAAUCCAGCUGGCUAAUACCCGGUUGGGAUGACGGUACCCAAAGAAUAAGCACCGGCUAACCUCGUGCCAGCCGCCGCGGUAA